UAUAUAUCGUUAUAAAGUAUUUUUUACUCGUGUUUUUAACAUUCUGCAUCCACGUUUUUGGUUUCAAUAAAAAAACAUAUACUUACGACUUAAGAUUAGCACCUCAAUUAUUUGAACAAUUUCAAAAAUUAUACAACAAAAAUUAUACACCGGAAGAGAAGAAAUUGCGUUUCAAAAUAUUUAAAGGGAAUUUGAAAAGGGUGAAUGCGCUCAAUCAGAAUGUUGUCUUAAAAUGGAUCGCUGUUAUUGGGCCGUACAACGAUUUGACAUAUUCGGAGUUCGUGAAAAAGUACGAUUUGCCGGAAUGGAGUGAAAACAAAGAGGAAAAGAUUAUUGUACAAUGCUCCAACCAGAAACUGUAUCUCUUCAAAAGAUUUUCCCAAUACACAAAGAACUUGUAUGCAAAAUGGGGGUCCUGGAAGCCGCCGGUCGAGUACGAAACCGAGGAGCUGAGUGACUACGACU